rnacentral:rRNA from 1 species
UUAUGUCAUGUUAUCGAUAUGUGAAUACAUAGCAUAUCAGAAGGCACACCCGGAGAACUGAAACAUCUUAGUACCCGGAGGAAGAGAAAGAAAAUUCGAUUCCCUUAGUAGCGGCGAGCGAAACGGGAAGAGCCCAAACCAACAAGCUUGCUUGUUGGGGUUGUAGGACACUCUAUACGGAGUUACAAAGGACGACAUUAGACGAAUCAUCUGGAAAGAUGAAUCAAAGAAGGUAAUAAUCCUGUAGUCGAAAAUGUUGUCUCUCUUGAGUGGAUCCUGAGUACGACGGAGCACGUGAAAUUCCGUCGGAAUCUGGGAGGACCAUCUCCUAAGGCUAAAUACUCUCUAGUGACCGAUAGUGAACCAGUACCGUGAGGGAAAGGUGAAAAGCACCCCGGAAGGGGAGUGAAAUAGAACCUGAAACCGUGUGCUUACAAGUAGUCAGAGCCCGUUAAUGGGUGAUGGCGUGCCUUUUGUAGAAUGAACCGGCGAGUUACGAUUUGAUGCAAGGUUAAGCAGUAAAUGUGGAGCCGUAGCGAAAGCGAGUCUGAAUAGGGCGUUUAGUAUUUGGUCGUAGACCCGAAACCAGGUGAUCUACCCUUGGUCAGGUUGAAGUUCAGGUAACACUGAAUGGAGGACCGAACCGACUUACGUUGAAAAGUGAGCGGAUGAACUGAGGGUAGCGGAGAAAUUCCAAUCGAACCUGGAGAUAGCUGGUUCUCUCCGAAAUAGCUUUAGGGCUAGCCUCAAGUGAUGAUUAUUGGAGGUAGAGCACUGUUUGGACGAGGGGCCCCUCUCGGGUUACCGAAUUCAGACAAACUCCGAAUGCCAAUUAAUUUAACUUGGGAGUCAGAACAUGGGUGAUAAGGUCCGUGUUCGAAAGGGAAACAGCCCAGACCACCAGCUAAGGUCCCAAAAUAUAUGUUAAGUGGAAAAGGAUGUGGCGUUGCCCAGACAACUAGGAUGUUGGCUUAGAAGCAGCCAUCAUUUAAAGAGUGCGUAAUAGCUCACUAGUCGAGUGACACUGCGCCGAAAAUGUACCGGGGCUAAACAUAUUACCGAAGCUGUGGAUUGUCCUUUGGACAAUGGUAGGAGAGCGUUCUAAGGGCGUUGAAGCAUGAUCGUAAGGACAUGUGGAGCGCUUAGAAGUGAGAAUGCCGGUGUGAGUAGCGAAAGACGGGUGAGAAUCCCGUCCACCGAUUGACUAAGGUUUCCAGAGGAAGGCUCGUCCGCUCUGGGUUAGUCGGGUCCUAAGCUGAGGCCGACAGGCGUAGGCGAUGGAUAACAGGUUGAUAUUCCUGUACCACCUAUAAUCGUUUUAAUCGAUGGGGGGACGCAGUAGGAUAGGCGAAGCGUGCGAUUGGAUUGCACGUCUAAGCAGUAAGGCUGAGUAUUAGGCAAAUCCGGUACUCGUUAAGGCUGAGCUGUGAUGGGGAGAAGACAUUGUGUCUUCGAGUCGUUGAUUUCACACUGCCGAGAAAAGCCUCUAGAUAGAAAAUAGGUGCCCGUACCGCAAACCGACACAGGUAGUCAAGAUGAGAAUUCUAAGGUGAGCGAGCGAACUCUCGUUAAGGAACUCGGCAAAAUGACCCCGUAACUUCGGGAGAAGGGGUGCUCUUUAGGGUUAACGCCCAGAAGAGCCGCAGUGAAUAGGCCCAAGCGACUGUUUAUCAAAAACACAGGUCUCUGCUAAACCGUAAGGUGAUGUAUAGGGGCUGACGCCUGCCCGGUGCUGGAAGGUUAAGAGGAGUGGUUAGCUUCUGCGAAGCUACGAAUCGAAGCCCCAGUAAACGGCGGCCGUAACUAUAACGGUCCUAAGGUAGCGAAAUUCCUUGUCGGGUAAGUUCCGACCCGCACGAAAGGCGUAACGAUUUGGGCACUGUCUCAACGAGAGACUCGGUGAAAUCAUAGUACCUGUGAAGAUGCAGGUUACCCGCGACAGGACGGAAAGACCCCGUGGAGCUUUACUGUAGCCUGAUAUUGAAAUUCGGCACAGCUUGUACAGGAUAGGUAGGAGCCUUUGAAACGUGAGCGCUAGCUUACGUGGAGGCGCUGGUGGGAUACUACCCUAGCUGUGUUGGCUUUCUAACCCGCACCACUUAUCGUGGUGGGAGACAGUGUCAGGCGGGCAGUUUGACUGGGGCGGUCGCCUCCUAAAAGGUAACGGAGGCGCUCAAAGGUUCCCUCAGAAUGGUUGGAAAUCAUUCAUAGAGUGUAAAGGCAUAAGGGAGCUUGACUGCGAGACCUACAAGUCGAGCAGGGUCGAAAGACGGACUUAGUGAUCCGGUGGUUCCGCAUGGAAGGGCCAUCGCUCAACGGAUAAAAGCUACCCCGGGGAUAACAGGCUUAUCUCCCCCAAGAGUUCACAUCGACGGGGAGGUUUGGCACCUCGAUGUCGGCUCAUCGCAUCCUGGGGCUGUAGUCGGUCCCAAGGGUUGGGCUGUUCGCCCAUUAAAGCGGUACGCGAGCUGGGUUCAGAACGUCGUGAGACAGUUCGGUCCCUAUCCGUCGUGGGCGUAGGAAAUUUGAGAGGAGCUGUCCUUAGUACGAGAGGACCGGGAUGGACAUACCUCUGGUGUACCAGUUGUCGUGCCAACGGCAUAGCUGGGUAGCUAUGUGUGGACGGGAUAAGUGCUGAAAGCAUCUAAGCAUGAAGCCCCCCUCAAGAUGAGAUUUCCCAACUUCGGUUAUAAGAUCCCUCAAAGAUGAUGAGGUUAAUAGGUUCGAGGUGGAAGCAUGGUGACAUGUGGAGCUGACGAAUACUAAUCGAUCGAAGACUUAAUCAA